GGGGAUCUUCACCUCCAACAGCAAAUGGUUCCGGGCUUGGCAUGCCAAUGUAUUGGCAAGGUUUUUAUCCACCUUCUGGUGGUAUGCCCGGUGGAUUACCUGGUGGUAUGCCUGGUGGAUUACCUGGUGGUAUGCCCGGUGGAUUACCUGGUGGUAUGCCUGGCGGAUUGCCCGGUGGGAUUUCUCAUUUGCAGCCACCACCCCUUUUACGCCCACCACCUGGUCUGUCAAUGCCAUAUUCCAUGCAGCAGCCUUUUCAAUAUCCUGGAAUUAAUGCUUCUUUGCCUUCUGUACCUCAGAAUAUAUCUGGAUCAAAU
rnacentral:lncRNA from 1 species